UGAGGAAUAUUGGGUCAAUGGACGCAAGUCUGAACCAGCCAAGUCGCGUGCAGGAAUAAGGCCCUAUGGGUCGCAGACUGCUUUUGCAUGAGAAUAAAAAGUGGGACGAGUCCCACCCUGUAGGUAUCAUGCGAAUAAGGAUCGGCUAACUCCGUGCCAGCAGCCGCGGUAAUACGGAGGAUCCGAGCGUUAUCCGGAUUCAUUGGGUUUAAAGGGAGCGUAGGCCGCCCCUUAAGCGUGUUGUGAAAUGCCGCGGCUCAACCGCGGCACUGCAGCGCGAACUGGGGGGCUUGAGUGCACGCAACGCAGGCGGAAUUCGUGGUGUAGCGGUGAAAUGCUUAGAUAUCACGAAGAACUCCGAUUGCGAAGGCAGCUUGCGGGAGUGCGACUGACGCUGAAGCUCGAAGGUGCGGGGUAUCGAACAGGAUUAGAUACCC
rnacentral:rRNA from 1 species